rnacentral:rRNA from 1 species
GAUGAACGCUGGCGGCGUGCCUAAUACAUGCAAGUCGAGCGAGCAGACGAGGAGCUUGCUCCUCUGACGUUAUCGGCGGACGGGUGAUUAACACGUGGAUAACCUACCUAUAAGACUGGGAUAACUUCGGGAAAUCGGAUCUAAUACCGGAUAAUAUAUUGAACCGGAUGGUUCAAUAGUGAAAUACGGUUUUUCUUUCACUUAUAGAUGGAUCCGCCCCGCAUUAGUUAGUUGGUAAGGUGACGGCUUAACAAGGCAAGGAUGCGUAGCCGACCUCAGGGGGUGAACCGACACACGGGAACAGAGGAAGAGUACAGACUCCUGCGGGGGGAAGCAGUCGGGACUCUUACGCAAUGGAGGAGAGCCGGACGGAGCACAGCGGGGGGAGGGAUGAAGGUCUUAGGAUCGGAAAGCGCUGUAAGCAGUGAAGAAGAAAUGUGCAAGUAACCAUGAUGGUCUUGACGGUACCGAGACAAAAAGCCACGGCUAACUACGUG